GCAGCCACAUGCUACUAGUACUAGGUUUGUACUCAACAGUAAACUAUUUUGACAAAAUGCGAAGUGUAAUUUUACUGCUUCUCGAGCAAACUAUGCUGGUAGAGUUGCUGAUUAUCUUGGCAUGAUAAACUGAACUUUCUUAUCCUGCAUUUCUAUACUAUAAAAUCGAACAUUUCUUUCAGUAUGAGCAUCUCUAAAUCUAUCACUUAUGUCUGCAAAGUUGUGCUCUGUAGUUAGCUUUGUAUUGGACUAAUCUGUUUAGUAUAAUACCAAAACAUAUAUCACAGGGAUGAACCUGAAGUUUACUGACAGAUGUUUCAACUAAUUUUGUAGUCAUACAAAUUGUAUGUCUUGCUAUUACUUAUGCACUCUUAUGAAUAGGUAUAUGUGAAACUUCUAUGCACUAGUUCAUCACAUGGCAGUUCAUUUUCUGGAAUGAUAUAAAAAGGAGCCGUUCACAAUGGAGUAGCAGUUCACAAUGGAGUUAGCAGUUCAAAAUGCAACAGAGUUGGUGCAAAGAGUAUCAUGCAAUGUUACUUUUUACAAUGACUAUCCUCAUCUUUAAUUGUUUAUGGGAAAUACUAGCAGGGUUUCUACCCUUUCUUUCCCCUAAUGACUGAUGGCAGUUGGUGCCAUAAUUUGGCUACCCCAAGACAAAUAUGCAACACUAUAUUCAAUUGUCUCACUCAUUAUCAUUACAGAAAAUGCUCACUGCUCUCAUCUCAAUAUUUUUACACAUCUCCAUAUACUUUAUUAUGUGUUCAUUGUUUUAUGUUUAACAUUUAGGCAGUAACACAUCACCAUAUACUUAUUGCAAGUUUAUUUCAAAUUGAGGAAGCUGAACUGAGCAUUAUGAAUCUGUAUGCUGAUUCCUAAUGAUAUAUAUCAAGAAGGCGUAAUUGUAAGAGAGACAUGAUGGGUGCAACCUGGAGUAGCAUGUGAGCUCAUAUGCAUUGCUCAAGAAUCUUUUUACGUUUGUGUUAAGUAGAUCAAGUCCUGUUAGAUUGAUUCAAUAGUUUUCAACUGAGUUGAUAGUAACUUGCUACUGGAAUAUCUAUAAAUAUUUCUGCUCAUUAAAAUUACUGCAUAUCAGCAGCAAUGUAUUUGUUUUCUGUA